rnacentral:rRNA from 1 species
GAUGAACGCUGGCGGCGUGCCUAAUACAUGCAAGUCGAGCGAACGGACGAGAAGCUUGCUUCUCUGAUGUUAGCGGCGGACGGGUGAGUAACACGUGGAUAACCUACCUAUAAGACUGGGAUAACUUCGGGAAACCGGAGCUAAUACCGGAUAAUAUUUUGAACCGCAUGGUUCAAAAGUGAAAGACGGUCUUGCUGUCACUUAUAGAUGGAUCCGCGCUGCAUUAGCUAGUUGGUAAGGUAACGGCUUACCAAGGCAACGAUGCAUAGCCGACCUGAGAGGGUGAUCGGCCACACUGGAACUGAGACACGGUCCAGACUCCUACGGGAGGCAGCAGUAGGGAAUCUUCCGCAAUGGGCGAAAGCCUGACGGAGCAACGCCGCGUGAGUGAUGAAGGUCUUCGGAUCGUAAAACUCUGUUAUUGGGGAAAAACAUAUUUGUAAGUAACUGUGCACAUCUUGACGGUACCUAAUCAAAAAGCCCCGGCUAACUACGU